AUUGAACGCUGGCGGCAGGCCUAACACAUGCAAGUCGAGCGGAUGAAGGGAGCUUGCUCCUGGAUUCAGCGGCGGACGGGUGAGUAAUGCCUAGGAAUCUGCCUGGCAGUGGGGGAUAACGUCCGGAAACGGGCGCUAAUACCGCAUACGUCCUGAGGGAGAAAGUGGGGGAUCUUCGGACCUCACGCUAUCAGAUGAGCCUAGGUCGGAUUAGCUAGUUGGUGGGGUAAAGGCCUACCAAGGCGACGAUCCGUAACUGGUCUGAGAGGAUGAUCAGUCACACUGGAACUGAGACACGGUCCAGACUCCUACGGGAGGCAGCAGUGGGGAAUAUUGGACAAUGGGCGAAAGCCUGAUCCAGCCAUGCCGCGUGUGUGAAGAAGGUCUUCGGAUUGUAAAGCACUUUUAGUUGGGAGGAAGGGCAGUAAGUUAAUACCUUGCUGUUUUGACGUUACCAACAGAAUAAGCACCGGCUAACUUCGUG
rnacentral:rRNA from 1 species